CCCAGUUUCAAGAUAUUCGUCUACUGUAAUCAAAAGUGCAUGGUGUUGGUGAAGAGCUAGACCAAUGGAACAGAAUAAAGAUCGAUAAGUGGAACAGAAUCAAGGACCAGAAAGAGAACUACACCCAUAUGUCCAAUGGGGCAUUGACAAAGGGACACCAGGGAACUUCUGGGCUCUUUCUCUGCCUUCAAGGAGGCUCUGCGACGCUGGGUCUAGUGCUGUCAGCCGACUUGGACCACACGGCCAGUUGUCUCCUCCUGCAUGGGCCGCCUAUUGGCGCAGGUGGAUCAGAGGGCUUCCAACAACACCAAUUGAUAACCGCAUAUGGUUUCUGUGGGCCAGGCAUCCAGGUGCAUCUAGCCAGGGACCUGUGUCUCAGGAUCUCUCACAAGGCUGCAGUCAAGAUGUCCUGUGGGUCUUCAGUCAUCUCCAGGCUUGUUGGGGGAAAAUCUGCUUGUGUGCUCACUCGGGUGGCUCUUAGCAGCCAGAGGUCCUCCACUGCGGUGAGCAAGAAAUAUUCAUUCCUUGCCACAUGGGCCUCUCCAUCAUACAGCCCACAAGGAGCAGGCGGCUUCCCUCGAAACCAAUGGUGAGGGAGCGAGAGCAAGCCCAAGAGGAGACCCAGUGUCUUUGUCUACGAGCCUCAGAAGUGCCAUGCUAUCUCUUGGGCCAUAUUCUGUCCUUUCGAAGUGAGGCAGGAGUUCCUGACUCUAAUCCAGUGGUAGAGUAUGGAACACAAAACGAUGUGUACCCUAGAAGGGAAUCGUUAGAGACCCUG